CUUCUUGUGCCUUUGGGACCUUCUGGCUCUGGUAGUCUUUCUUCCUAGCUGUUGAAGAGCAUGUCCUUGUUUAUUGGCAAUGCUAUAUUAGAUUCUGUCUUGCACAAGUAACAUUC